UCUUGAAUGGUCUAGUGGUAAGGAUACCUGCUUGUCAUCAGCAAGGCAAUACGCAGGUGGCCGGGGUUCGAUUCCCCGUUCGAGAG